GACGAACGCUGGCGGCGUGCCUAAUACAUGCAGGUCGAGCGAAGUUUUUCUGGUGCUUGCACUAGAAAAACUUAGCGGCGAACGGGUGAGUAACACGUAAAGAACCUGCCUCAUAGACUGGGACAACUAUUGGAAACGAUAGCUAAUACCGGAUAACAGUAUUUCUCGCAUGAGAGAUAUUUAAAAGUUGGUUAUGCUAACACUAUGAGAUGGCUUUGCGGUGCAUUAGCUAGUUGGUGGGGUAAAGGCCCACCAAGGCGACGAUGCAUAGCCGACCUGAGAGGGUGAUCGGCCACACUGGGACUGAGACACGGCCCAGACUCCUACGGGAGGCAGCAGUAGGGAAUCUUCCGCAAUGGGCGAAAGCCUGACGGAGCAACGCCGCGUGAGUGAAGAAGGAUUUCGGUUCGUAAAGCUCUGUUGUUAGGGAAGAAUGGAUAUGUAGUAACUAUACAUGUAAGAGACGGUACCUAACCAGAAAGCCACGGCUAACUACGU
rnacentral:rRNA from 1 species